CCAAUGUGGUCAUCCAUCGAGGUUACUAGUGGCUCUGUCCAGGUGGUAUAUGGGAGCAUAGCCCUAAGUGCUGUGGUGUGCAGUCCCCCUUCCAGUGUUGAAGAGCGAGUCUGUCUCUGGUUCUAGAGCUGACGAGGACAGCAUCCUAUAUAUUUUUAUAACUUCUCAGUCUCUAGACAGUUACUGAGGAGAAACCAUGCAGGGUGCAACU
rnacentral:snoRNA from 2 species